AUUGAACGCUGGCGGCAUGCUUUACACAUGCAAGUCGAACGGUAACAGGCCGCAAGGUGCUGACGAGUGGCGAACGGAUGAGUAAUGCAUCGGAACGUGCCCAGUCGUGGGGGAUAACUGCUCGAAAGAGCAGCUAAUACCGCAUACGAUCUAUGGAUGAAAGCGGGGGACCGUAAGGCCUCGCGCGAUUGGAGCGGCCGAUGUCAGAUUAGGUAGGUGGUGGGGUAAAGGCUCACCAAGCCAACGAUCUGUAGCUGGUCUGAGAGGACGACCAGCCACACUGGGACUGAGACACGGCCCAGACUCCUACGGGAGGCAGCAGUGGGGAAUUUUGGACAAUGGGCGCAAGCCUGAUCCAGCAAUGCCGCGUGCAGGAAGAAGGCCUUCGGGUUGUAAACUGCUUUUGUACGGAACGAAACGGUCCUGGUUAAUACCCGGGGCUAAUGACGGUACCGUAAGAAUAAGCACCGGCUAACUACGUGCCAGCAGCCGCGGUAAGAC
rnacentral:rRNA from 1 species